rnacentral:lncRNA from 1 species
AUGACUUACUCCCCCACUGAGGGGCGAUGGGCAGCAUCAUUAUCAGACGUCGGACUGUGCGGCAGGGAGUCUGAUUCUGUGCCAGCAAUGGAAAUGGCCUCGGAAGUACGGCUCCUCCUCCAUCCCAAAGCCACAACCCCUCCGAGGCACUGCCUUUCCAAAAAGUACAUCCGGACUGAAUCCAGCAAGCCUCCCUGUGGAAGACGCUCUGUUCACUUCUGUGUGGAAGCCAUCUGCUCCCUUUCACCCGGCUCUGUCUGCAGGGCUGUGAGAUCGCCUGCCGAGCUGGAAAGCUCUCCUCCUCCAAGCACCACCUGCAGUCAGAGAGGGAUGCAUUUACCCUCAGAUGAGAGGGGGGAUGGGAUGGGUUUGGUUACUAUCAGCCAUGUUGUUAGCGCAACAUGAGGGGAAGGAAAUAACAGCGUUGGCUGAAUCUGGGGCGGCCGAUAGUGUCAGCCGGAGGCGGUUACCAGGCAACUGUCGCACCAUGGGACAUGGCAAGCCGGGAACGCGGCAUUCUCACCAUGCCUGCCCAGUGUGUGCCCGUGGGAGGGGGCCCAGCAUGUCACAGAGUGUGCAGGGAGAGGGUGGCGUGAACAGGAGCGUGCUGCAGGACCUGUGACAGAGGAGGGGGUCUCCAACGUACCCCCUCCUGCCAGCCAGAUCUCCUACCCCUUCCUCACUUGCCUCCAGAUACACAUCAUGGAUUGCCUGACAGGCAGGAUUUCACAUUCUUCCUGCAUCCUCUGCUACUGGAGAAACUGAAAAGAGAAAAAUGUUACCUCCAACUUUGUAUCCAAGGUCCCCAGGCUUGUCCAAGUCCAGUGCUUGUUGCAUUGACCCUGUGGUCCUACACUUCUUUAUCCCUUAACAAAUCUGAAGCUCCCUCCUUUCCUAGUCACCUACUGUUUUUGCCUGGGCAACCCAGCUCUGUGUCCCUGUAUCUCACUGGAAAGGUGAUUUUCUUGUAAAAAUGAGCUAACGUUCCCUUCCAAAAGCUGCCAGUCCUCCCCAGCCAUCCUAUUUGAGGCAUACGUAUGGCCCCACUUGCUUUCCUGCUCCUGAUUCAUGCUUGCCCUGCUUCUUACAACGGAAAACUCAGUAGCAAUAAAGCAGCUUGAAUGGCAGGUAUGGAGUAAAUG